CUCGCUCUUCUCGUCCACCGCACUACACAGCAAUGCACACAUGUCCUGCCAUCUCUGAAAGCAACCCCCCGAAACCCUGAGUGUUCCUCUGACCAGGUGUGAAAGUGCAAGAUUCAUCUCGGCUGACGAAAGAGGAAGAAGAUCCAAAGCUUGGAUUUUGUUUCAGACACGAAGCCCAGUAGCUGAUAAAUUGACAUUUCUGUUGCCGGGCUCGGCGGACGACUUCUUGAACAACAGUUCAUCAGGGUGUAUCUGGACUUUCUGAGAUACACAGCAGGCAGAGGGAGGGAUGAAACACUUUGGAGAAACUUUUCAGUAAUGCUCAAGGUGCAUGACUCCACUGGCUGAUGACUGCGGACUCUAGUGGCUAGAAAGCUGUCCAGCAUUAUCCAACAUCAAGCCAGGCGGACCAAACUUCUGAAGAGCUGCUGUUUCUUGAAAACUUGUCCGUGGCGAAGAGAAGAUGAAGAGCGGCAGUUCAACUUUAGUCCGAGCCUUCCCUUCUUUACGUCUGAUUCAUACCGACACCUCCCUCUCUACAGAUAUAACAGAGAGGACUACAGGAAACUAUACUUUAAUGUUACAGGGAACCAUCAAAGCUAAGUCUUAGCUUCCCUUUUUCUUUACUUCUUCCGUUAGGUAGGUCAAACAUGUCAUAUUCAAGAAAAUGGUUUAAGAAUGUCACACCUCCGCAGAGGCCCAACUGUCCCCGUAAAUUCAAUCAAGCUGCACCAAAUUGCUCACACUUAAAGAUACUACAGCCCGAAAUAUGCUUGAUUUUUCAUGGAGAUCACUAAGUUAGCCCUCGGGGAAUCUAUGAAAAUGUCAAAAAAUAAAAAAAGAUCCUGGAUCUGCAUUCAAAUGAAAGUUGUUUCUCAGCCCAAGUCCCAACUUUCCACCAAGUUUUGUGGGAAUCUCUUCAGUCGUUUUUGUGUAAUCAUGCAAAUCCCAAGUAUUUGAUGCUUAUGGAUCCAAUUUCCCCAAUUUCCCCCCGUGGAUCAAUAAAGUAUUUCUGAUUCUGAUCCGUGAGCCAA